ensembl:lncRNA
GGCAGGACUAGAGCCAUAUUGAAUGAUUUAGUCUCUUUCAUAGAUGGCUGCAGUAUCAGUGGGAACAGACAAUAACAGAAUCAACUGAAUCCAUCCAGAUGCUUAUAAAGGACCAAACAAAACAAGACCAUUGAGGUUAUACAUUGAUGAGCCACAUCAGAUGGAAAAAACAUCACAGAAUGCCUGAUUCUAUCUCUCUAUUUUUUAUAAAAAAUCUAGAAGAGGGCCGGGCGCUGUGGCUCAAGAAUGUAAUCCCAGCACUUUGGGAGGCCGAGACCGGCGGAUCACGAGGUCAGGAGAUGGAGACCAUGCUGGCUAACCCGGUGAAACCCCGUCUCUACUAAAAAAUACAAAAAACUAGCCGGGCGGCACUAGCCGGGUGAGGUGGCGGGCGCCUGUAGUCCCAACUACUCCGUAGGCUGAGGCAGGAGAAUGGCGUGAACCCGGGAGGCGGAGCUUGCAGCGAGCUGAGAUCCGGCCACUGCACCCCAGCCUGGGCGACAGAGUGAGACUCCGCCUCAAAAAAAAUAAAAUAAAAUAAAGCCUACAGUACUAAUAAAUAAGAGAAAAAAAUAACGUAUAUUUUUAAAACUACUAAAAGUUAGCUUACAUUUGACUAAUUAUUAAAUGACAAUGCUUCAGCAUUUUAAUAAAUUUAUUAAUAUACCACUUACGGUUAUUAUCUUAAUGGUUGAAUAUCUAAAUGCAACUUCUAUAUUUUAACUUAACAGAAUUCUCUACUCACAAUCAUCAAAUAAUAUCACACAUGUAAAUACUGCCUUAAUGUUUUUAAAUUCUUUUAGAAUUUUGCUUAUCUCAUUUUGGCCUAUUUCAAAACAUCCAUAAACCUAGUUUACACACUAAUUAUAAUUUUGGAAAAUAAAACAUAAACAUAAUAUUAAUCAGUAACUGUUCCAAACUUUUUCUUUGUUUAUUGACACUUUUAGGUAUCUAUCACUAUAUCUUUUUUAUGUUUUAGAAUGAUAAGAAACCUAAUUAAGAUCAUUUAGAAAAUUUAACAAAGGUUUAAUAUAGUCAUAGAAUUACUUGGCCUGCUUAUACUAAUUAAGUCAUUAUAUUCCAAAAAUUAUAACACACAGUAUUUCUUUCACUGUUCAUUUUGAUUAACCAAAUUAUAACUUGUAUAAAAUGACUGAAAUCCUUUCAGGGGAAUAUUUUUAUCUUUAAUGAAAGUUUUAUUAAACUUCCAACAAAAGUAUUGCUUAUUAAAAUUUUAUAAGAUAAAAAAUUUAUCUGCAUUGUUUUUGAAUCAUUACUUUCAAAUAAUUGUCAGCAAUAAACUGUUAACAUAGAUUCAUUCUCAGAAUGAAUUUGCAAACUAAUUUUGUUUCCAAUAGAUAACUGCCUCUCUCCUCAAGUGCACUAUCAAACGAAACCAUUAUUUCAUUGUUUCAUUACUUUCAUAACACAAUGUUUGUUUAUGAUAUUUUAAAAAAUUAUGACAUAAUGUUGGAACAGAUUAUUUUAAACAGAGAAUAAUGUAGAUUUUAGCAGUAUAUUUACUGCUAUUCCUGUAACAAGUCUUGCAAGAGAUUUAAAAUCAUUUCAUUUUUUAGCUACCAUUAAUUUAAAAAAUGAGUGAUGUCUCUUUAAGAUGAUAUGAAUAUAGACUACUUUUUUCU